rnacentral:rRNA from 1 species
UACGGAGGGUGCGAGCGUUGUUCGGAAUUAUUGGGCGUAAAGGGAGUGCAGGCGGCUGCGUAUGUCUGGUGUGAAAGCCCUGAGCUCAACUCAGGAAGUGCACUGGAAACUGCGUAGCUUGAAUCUCGGAGAGGGUGGUAGAAUUCCUGGUGUAGAGGUGAAAUUCGUAGAUAUCAGGAGGAAUACCGGUGGCGAAGGCG